AUACGGAGGAUGCAAGCGUUAUCCGGAUUUAUUGGGUUUAAAGGGUGCGUAGGCGGUUUGCUAAGCGGGAGGUGAAAUGCCGGCGCUCAACGUCGGAAGUGCCUCCCGAACUGGUGGACUUGAAUGACUCUGCCGUGGGAGGAAUGUGUAGUGUAGCGGUGAAAUGCUUAGAGAUUACACAGAACACCGAUUGCGAAGGCAUCUCACGAAGGGUUGAUUGACGCUGAGGCACGAAAGCGUGGGGAUCAAACAGGAUUAGAUACCCUGGUAGUCCACGCAGUAAACGAUGAUGGCUAACCGCUGGGCUUAUCAGUUCAGUGGCCAAGCGAAAGCGAUAAGCCAUCCACCUGGGGAGUACGACCGCAAGGUUGAAACUCAAAGGAAUCGACGGGG
rnacentral:rRNA from 1 species